CACCACAGCAACCCCUGCUCUGCCUAAGUGCUUCUGAUUAGUGACCCAUGACUUAAAGACGCUGAUGAAUCUACGCCUACACGGAUCGAACGUAGCCCCAAUCAGACCACCGGCUUCAGCGAAACACUUCUGUCACAAACUUCAUCCCUCAUUCAUUGAGAACUUAAUCUCUCCGUUAAAACAACGAUUAGAUGCUGAAAAAAUGCUGUUGCGUGUAGACGGAGGAAAAGAGAGACUUUGCGGCCAGCCAAUUUUUGGGAUUUCCAUUGAAACCCUGCACAGGAU